rnacentral:lncRNA from 1 species
GAAGGUAUCCUCCUGAAGCCGAGCAUGGUGACUCCAGGAGCCGAGUCUAAAGACAGAGCUACUCCUGAACAAGUUGCCUCCUACACCCUUAAGCUCCUCCGCAACAGAAUCCCUCCUGCCGUCCCUGGAAUCAUGGCAAGCUUUAAAUGAGUUUUUUAUUACAAAAAAUGAGGAAAACCUAGAUCUUGGUUGCUUGAGGUGAAAGUUAAGUUUUUUUUGUGUUUUUUUUUCUGCAGUUCUUGUCCGGAGGACAGUCUGAGUUGGAGGCAACGUUGAACCUGAACGCGAUGAACCAGGCACCAAACCCGUGGCACGUGUCCUUCUCCUACGCACGUGCUCUUCAGAACACUUGCCUGAAAACAUGGGGAGGCAGAGCUGAGAACGUGAACGCAGCUCAGACCACUCUCUUGACUCGAGCCAAGGCCAAUUCGUUGGCUCAGCUCGGAAAAUACACCGGAGAAGGUGAGUCUGAAGAGGCUAAGGAGGGUAUGUUCGUCAAAGGCUACACCUACUGAAGACAACAAUGUUGAAGAGGUGAAGAUGCUGUGAAAGGAGAUGAAGCAAGUGUUUUAAUUACAUUUGUUUUCGAGUAUGGUUGUUAUUAUCAUGUCAAAUCACUUAUUUUCUCUGCUGAAUUUGCAUUAGCUACUCCUUUUAAUAAGUUUGUAAUAUAUUGAAGUUAUCUACUAUCUUUGAUCAUUUAAAAUUGAAAAUUAUUCUCAAGAAAUAGUCCACGAUAAAAUGACGAGAGAUCCACUUCGCCACCUCUCCAUACUAUCUUUAAUAUAUUGAACUUAUCUAUCUGUGAAUAUAUAUUUUUUCGAAAGGAUUUUUAUUUGAGAAAAAAUAGAAAGAAAUUGUUCGGAAUAUUCAGGUAUGUUAGCUUUGACAUUCGUGUGAGCUCUUUCCUUUAAACUAAGAGAUAAUGCACAAACAAAGACAACAAGCCUUUCUUCUUUCUUCAACAAUAAAAACACCAGACCCUGCAACACAAUCAUGGAAUCAAAAAGAAGGAAAAAAAAGAAAAACAUGAGCUUCCCAUUUCUUUAAACAGAUUAUCACUCUCACCUUUAUCACUUGUCAGGCUCUCGUUUAAAGGGCACAACACCUGGAGUCUCGUGAUUGCUCGUGUUAUUUACAUCGAUACCCUGCUCAUUUUAGAAACAAAACAAACUCACAAGACAAGAAAAAUGAUUAUACAUAGAGGGAGAUGUAAUGUAACGUAGAGAGAUUAAAAGUACAUGGUUAUUUGAUGAAGGCUCAUGAAGUCUCUGAGGGUUAGAGUUGAGAUCAAUCAUUUCGUCAUCAGUAGUCUUGCCAUUAGCUUCACCGUUGGCAUUUGAAGAGACUCUUUGGUUUUGCAAAUUGGCUCUCGUAUUGUUUGGUGGUUUAGGCUUGUCCCCUGGAAACUACAUGAAGAGAACAAGAUGACCAAUUCUAUCAAGAAACUGAAAACAUGAACAUAAAAAAAAGAAAGGUUAAAUUGAAAAAACCUCAAUUCUCUGUCUGAGCAAAAGAAAGCGGCCGUGUGUUCGCUUGCCACCAACAUGAACGACCAUGUCACAUUGCAGACAAAGGGAACUACCAUCUAUCUCACAGUAAAAGAAGGCUGCCGAGUAGAACCAAGAAAACAAAAAAAAAGGAUUUAAAAAAAAAAAAGAGUGGGGCAAAUUCAAUGAAAAGAGAGAGAGAGAGAUGAUAUACCAGGUGCAUUUUCGCAAAUAUCGCAGCAGGGGGCAUUGCUUGGUUCGGCUAAACCUACACGUACAUGCCGACUAGCUAGCUUAUUGCACAUAUGAACCUGCAAACAUAACAGAGUUUGGAAUCCCAUUGGAAGCUACUACUCAGAGAGGUAUUGCAACAGAAAAGGGAUUAGCUAAGGACUCUCGAGAAGGACUGAAAAGUGUUUACCCAUCAUGUAAAUGAAGUAAAAGAUUAAUCGCAAAAUUUGAUUAGGUGUUUCUCCACAAGUAGAGUAGUUAAGCUAAAUGCAAAGUUUGGAAACAAACAUUCCCUGCAAUGCACAUGAUAGAGUAGCAUAAUCACUGAAAUGGCAACAGCAAAUACUUGGAAUCACUAUGGUAAUAACUAAAAACAUGAAUUCAACAAGUCUUUUUUUUUUUGUUCAAACUUAAAAACUUCAAUAGAUGGGUUUAGUUUUGCAUGGCCCAAAGGGCCUGCUUUGCUACAGAAUCUGCUCUAGAGUUUUCUGAACGGGGAAUAAACUUAAACACAUACGACAUAAAUGAGAGAAGCAGGUGGUAGAUAUCACAGAGCGGUCCAUAGAUCUCAAGCAAUAACUCCCUCCUGUUGAUUGUGUUGAUGAGAACUUGGGAGUCUGAGAGGAUGAGGAUCGAGGCCAUACCGCGUGAUUGAGCAAAGGUUAUGGCUUUAAGGACAGCCAGAGUUUCUGCCAUGAGAGGCGAUGAGACGAAGGUCGCAUUCGCUGCAUAUUGUGAUGGCGAGACCAGAUCAUCAACGAUCCAACCAAAGCCUGCGUUUCCCGUCAGUGGGUUCCAUGCUGCAUCGGUGAAGAUGACGCGUAGAUCGGGAGCUCUAGGGAUUGGUUCGAGUCUGAUCAAAGGUUUCGAUCGGUUUGGAUUUUGGGGAGGCUGUGCCAUCAUCCAUUCACGAGCAUCCGAGAUAGCUUUCAGGAUUGUCUCUUCGGGUGAGAAGUUUCUCUUCUCGAAAAUUAGCUGAUUCCUGGAGCACCAGAUUGACCACACGAUCCAUGCCGAGAAAGUACCUGCUUCGAUACCUGUUGGCGGUAGAGAAGGUAUCUUCCUAACUCUAUUCCAGCCCUCAGGGAAGGAGGUGAAGCUUAGGGAGUUUAUAUAGCUUGCUGAUGGUGCUAACUCCCAGACUUUCUUUGCAUAGGGACAAUUGAACAGCAGAUGGACCACUGACUCUUCUGAAUCACACCGAGCACAGCGGCUGGUUACUGGAAUGUUUCUUAUUGCAAACUGUUCUCCUACUGGUAGAGCACCAUGUAGGGAUUUCCAUAAGAAGACUUUGAUCUUUUCCACUGUUUCAUUCAACAAGUCUAAAGAAGCAAAUCUAAGCACAAAAAAAACAAAAAGUUGCAAACUUUAAUCACUCGUUGAGACGAGCGAGAGUCUUAUUAUAUAAAAUGAGCCACAGCUCUGAACCAAUUGAGCAAAUCCCAGAUUAACAAAGACUCGAUUUUUCUAUCAGUAGAGAGAGAUACAAAAAGAAAAGGGCUUUACUUUUUCAUCGCAGGCGCGGCAAAGGGCAGCUUCAUCGGCGGCGCAGAAGACGAUAGCAGCUGCGUUCUCGCACGCAUCACACAAAAUCCUCAUCCUUCAGUUUUACAAAGACUUUGUUUUUCCUCACUCACCCUUCAAUACAAUACACAACCCAACCCAGAGAUUGCAACUGACUAAGUAGAAAUCUGAUUAAAUUUAGAACGUCGUUGUGUAGAUUAAGGGUUGGUUGGUAUCAAUCAAUCAAGGAUGAAGAUGAAGAAGGAAGAGAAAGAAAAAGAUUAUUAUUAUGCCUCUUUCACUCCUUUUAAAAUCUUUUCUACGAUGGAGGAGAGACGAAUCAAAUCCCACGCGCCUACACCAUCAUAUAUCCUUUACUCGCGCUUUAAUCACUGUUUACUUACUCUCUCUCGAGUCAUUACGAAAAUAGUAAGCGCGCCUAACUUAACAACAAAUGUUCGUCAGCAGAAAAUAAGAGAAAAAGACUAAGAUAACACCAAACCAAGUUUUUGUUCCCAAAUUAGCACUCAAGGCUCAAAGUCACAAAAAUAGGUUUCAUUAAAGAAGUAAAUAUACAUUUAUACCCCUUGGGUUAAUUAAUUCAAACCUUAGGGUUUAGAGUUAAGGGGGUGGGGUUUUGGAAUUAGGGUUUAAAAUUUUAUAAAAAAUAAAUACUAAAAUAAAAAUAAAAAUUUUAAAAACAGUUUCAAAAAGUAUUUUUAAAUUAUAAAAAGAAAAUUAAAAAAAAAAUUAAAAAAUUCAAAAAAAGAAUUCAAAAUUUUUUUAAAAAAUUUCGAAUCUGAAAAAUAUAAUCUGAAACUAUAAAAAAAAUUUCUUUUUUUAUUUUAUUUAUUUUUAUUUUAUUUAUUUAUAUUUAUUUUUGUUUGUUUAUUUAAUUUUAAACCAAGGGUAUUAUGGAUAUUUUACCCUUUAAUGAAUGUCAUUUUUGUGACUUUCUCCUUCUAGUACUAUUUUUGUGACAUAAACUUCAAAAGGUGCUAUUAUUGACAAUUGCCCAGAAAAUAAUGGUGAUAGUAUUUUUGAAUGGAUAAAAUUCCAUUUAAAAGACAGAGAUGAUGAUGUCGACUAUUGCUAGACGCGGACCCUAAUCGUGAACACAGAAGACUAGUCUGGCUCGGGCAGGUCAUUGAUGUGUCUCCCUUAAUCAAACUCCUCCUUGUGUUUCCUUCUUUUUAGUUUAGGUGUGGGUGAAUGUCACUCUCUCUCUCUGAUAUUGUCAUUCAUUAUUAUUAUGUGCGCAAUUCAUACUUUAUAAUUACGUGAAUGAUGGAUAUUUGAUCUCAACUUGUGUUAAAGGUAACGGUGGUGCAAUAUAUUUACGACUUGUGGCUAAUUUCUUUAACAAGUUUAUUAAUCCAAAAAAAAAUGAGAGCCACAAGAGGAAAUGAAAAAAAAAGGACAAGAAGGUGGGUGGGCCAAAUGUCACCAGCCAUUUUAAAAAAAAAUUGGUGGUCGAGAAGUAGUUGCAAGCAACUCUCAUAAGUCUUCUUUCUUGUGGUCUUCCUUCAAAGUUCUCCUUUUACCUAUAUUCGGAUUUGGCUAUGAUCUAUUAAUAGUUAUGUUAGAUUUGCUUCAGAUUUUUUCUCACUUCUUUAUUCUUUUCCAAUGAAUCUCCAUAAUAAUCCGAUUAUUUAUUCUAUUUUCUUCUGUUAAACAUCUUCGCAUUCCAUCAGUAUAUACAAUAGCUUACCCCGCCUCUGAAUAUCGUCAUAUAUACCUAUACAUCUAUGAUUUAUAAGUUAUAAUUCCACCCGCAUGUUUACACAAUCUCACAUCUUACUAAUAAACAGAGAGCAUCCAAAGCAGAUGAUGCCAAGAAGAACACCAAACAAGAAACUGAUAAGUAUGGAAACAUGAGCUACCUUGUACUAUAAUUGUUGCGUAACAGUAUAAUCAUUUGUUAAUGUUGGGAUUCACUUGAAACAUUGGACAACAUAGAGUUAAUACCCAAUAUGGCAACAAUAUAUCCAUUUAGUUUGGUUUAAAUCCAUUUCUUAAAUACGUAAAAUGCUAGUAAAAAGAUAAGUAAGCCCAAAUUUAGUAAAUGACAAAUUCAGGAUAAGUAAGGCAAUUUGGUAAGCAAGCUCAUUUAUAACAUUAGUAGGCAUUAUGGGCUGAAGAGAAAUGUCGCUGGCAAGAUGGGCUCUACGCAAAAAAGUAGAGAGGCCCACAUGGUGGUAAGGUGUUUAAGCUAUCCCAAUAAAAAAUUUAAAGGCAAAACAGUCAUUAACAAGUCACCCCUAAGCGAAAAAGAGCUCUGUUGCAGAUCAGAGCAUAGGAGGAGUGAUAAGGCGGUUUUGGCGUGGGGAAGAAGACAAAUCCACAAAGGUAAUAAAAGACCUCUUUGCAUAUAUAAACAGGAAAUAAUCUUUUAGUAAUCUGAACCAAGAAAUGACAUGUGCAUUUUCUAAUGAUGCUUGAAAAUACGGUUGGUGCAAUUGACAAACACAAGUGCAAAACUAUAGAACGUGUCCUAUUAUAAUAUAUAGAUAAUCCAAGUAACUUUUCAAGAGGUGUGGUCAUGACUUUUUGUGUUGUCUGAUCUCUUUUUCGACUAAACAAUGUUAAAGAUUGGUAAAACGUGGCUUCGUGGAAGCGUAAUGGGUGACCAUUUAACAGAAAGAGUCGGUUAACCAACUCCUAAGUAAUACUAUUAUAAUAACAAGCAAAGUCUUCUCUUCUUGUCUCGUGUGUUUAUUUCAUAGAAUGAUUCCAGUUUUUGUACUCUUGCAGCAGAACAACACGAAGCUUUUCCUUUUAUGUAUAGCCAUGUUUCAUGUUUUAAUCUCUUAGUUUUGGUUUGGUGAGAUCUCUCAUAAGUCUUUGAGUUUUGCCAACUAUUUAUGGCUGUGUUAGUUAGUAUAUAAGGGGCCCUUUUGGUCUCUUCUCAAAAGUAUUCUGCUAUUUGAACUUCUUUUCAGAAGUAAAAACUUCAAUCUUUAGAGGUCUAAAGUUAAUUUUCUUGAACAGUUUCAGGAAAACGAGGUUCGAAGCAACUACUACAGCGUGAAGAAAGGUAACCUUGAUCAUGUCACAUGCCUCAAAAUGUGAUUGUGCGAUAACAGUGAGGAAGAAAGAUGUGCAAAUACAAAAGGUUUUUUGACUCAGAAUGGCUUUCAUUGAUUUCCUUUUGAGGCUUGUUUUGUAACUGUGUGGGGCCGUGGGGGUUUAAGGACUUAAUACUAAUUAGUGAAGGUUUAAUGUGAUUGCAGAUGGAAAAGAAGAUGGCAAAGUUGAGAAAGCAGAGGGAUAUUGCUGAGUCCAGGCUUGAAGAUUUCAUGAGAAUUAUUGAACACCAUCAUCAGGCGUUAAAGGUAUCUCUUGGCUCUUCCCCACACAUUAAGCUACAUUAGGAUUCUAAACGGCAUUUGAGCUAAAAUGUGCUUGCUUCUGUUUGAAAGUCUGGAACUCCUUACUUUGGCAACCACACAGACAAGUGGGAAGAUGAUGGUUCAGUAUCAGACACAUCAGGCAUGGUCAAUUUAUUAGACACAAGGAGUUUCAUAUCUGACGACGAUGAUGAUGAUGAUAUCAAUGAAGAGCUGCCUAUGCGUUCACAAGAUCCAUCAGAUGAAUACUGUAGAGAAGUCCAGUGCAUUGAGAUUGAGGAAACGGCCACAGUCUUUAGUAAUAACAACCCCAAAGACGAGAAAGAAGAAACUAAAAACGUUGUAGGCCAUAAUGAGGAUCAUGCUGAUGAUGAAAGGAGUGUAGUCCAAAACGUGAACCACAGAGAUACCAUACCAGGGGCAGAAAGACAAGAGAGUCACAAGAUUGAGUUUCCUGAGUUAGAGUUGGUUUCUAGUAGUGUGUCGAGGAGUGAUUCUAUGUCUUCUUCUUACGGGAGCAAUUCCAAUGGCAUCCCAACGCCCUUGGGAGAAGAAGGAGGUAUCUCUACUUUCCAGACUUUCGUUGAUGGGCUUAAGGAGAUGUCUAAGCGUCAUCAAGAGGUAACUUCAUAAACAUUUAUAAAUAAAUACUAAUCGAUUUAUUCUUACGAUUCAUUUACAACUUUUUUUCUGUUUUCAUUUAAGGUCUCUAAUGCUGAGGCUUCUGGUAAAAUGGAAAAGGACCUUGGUGUGGACGGGGACUUUGAGAGAAAGCGGCAAGAGAUUCUGGAGCUAUGGCAAAGCUGUAACGCCUCUUUGGUGCGUAGAACAUAUUUUUACCUGCUCUUCAAAGGAGAUGAGGCUGAUUCAGUCUACAUUGGAGUUGAGCUGAGAAGACUUUUGUUUAUUAAAGAUCGCUUCUCUCAGGGAAAACAAGCCUCGGAUGGAGGAGAAACCUUAACAUUGUCUUCAAGGUUAGAUACUUCUUUUGGUAUUUGAGCAAUUGUUUGGUUGUUUCAGUUUUGUUUAAGGGGACUAGUCUUUUCUUUUUUGGUAAAGCCUGAAGGCGCUUCACAAGGAGAGAAAGAUGCUGAGCAAGCUUGUGAGGAAAAGGUUUUCAGAAGAAGAGAUGACAAGAAUCUAUCACAAAUUUGGGAUUGCGGUUAACUCGAAACGCAGGCGUUUACAACUUGUGAACAAGCUGUGGAGCAAUCCCAAGGACAUGACCCAGGUUGCGGAAAGUGCAGAUGUUGUAUCCAAGCUUGUGAAGUUAACUGAACAAGGCAAAGCCAUGAAGGAGAUGUUUGGUCUGGCUUCCACGUCUCCUUCCUUGUUGACAUCUCAGAAAGCUCAUGGUUGGAGAAAAAGCUUGCCUCCACUUUUCUAACCAUCUUUGUAUUUUUGGCACUGACAUUAUUAUACUCUUGCGUUUCUUGUAGCAGUGUGUAUGUCUUCUUUGUGUCCUUUCUUUUUCAUUUGUUUGUCUUUUGAUUUUGAAGGUGCCAGCCAACAUUGUUUUACAGUCAAAUGGAAUCUGUUGAUUUUGAAGGAGCAUGCAUACCUAUUCGUUUGAAUGUCCCACCAUCUAAUAAAAUCUGUUGACCAAAGUUGCACUCAAAUUAAGAAAAAAAAGAGUUACAGUCAAAUUCUGUUAUGGAAAACCUCAUUACAUAAUAUGGAAGAUCUAUUGACUAUUUGUAUUUAUAUAUAUGUGGUUAGUUCUCUUAACAAAGCACAGAUUAAAAGGAAAAUCUGGUGGCUAUUAUAAGUAAUGUUUAGUUGCUUACAAGUUUUCGUUUCAAGAGUGGUUAUAAGUUUCUUACUGAAGUAGGCAACAACAUUUUAAAAGUCGAAUUAUAAGUUGGUGAAUACCACAGAACUAUAAGUUGUCCGCGUUUAUGUUUUGAUUUUGCGUGUCCUAAUACAAGUCACUUUUUAGACUUUAGAAGAUAUGCAUUUUAGAGAAAGAGAGACAAGUGUUUUUUUUGUUGUUGGGACUUAUUUUUCGAUUAAGACAUUGUUUUUAGACUGAUAUUUUGUGACUUUUUAGUCUUCAAGCAUAGUUAGUGGGUGACCAUAACAGAAAUUAACUGUAUUUUGUAAUAAACAAAGAAAGUCUUCUCUUAUUUCUUGUGUUUGGUUCAUUGAAUGCUUUCAUUUUUCUUUCUUUCUCUUUAAGCACAACAAAAUAAUGUUUGGUUCAUUGAAUGACUUCUUCUUUCUCUUUCAGCACCAACAAAAUAAAGCUUUUCAUUUAAUACUUUUUGACGGCAUAAGGCUUUUCAUCUUAGAGGCAUGUUCCAUGUUUUAAUCACUGAGUUUUGCCGAUUAUUUAUGAUCUUGUGUUGGUUACCAAAAAUAAGGGGCCCCUCUGGUCUUUAUCUCAAAAGUAUUCUGUUUCAGGGAGGGAAACGAGGUUGCUCUGGUUACACACUGAGAUCAAAACCAAUGGUGAUCAUCAUAUAGUAGCACUUGCUGAAGAAGAUGGAAAAGGCACACAUGUCUGUGGACCGAGAAGAGAAGAUACUGGUUCUGGUGAGAUUGAGGCCUCUAAACAAGAAAGAGAUUGCAGCUAACGAAGCUACGGACUGGGAAUGUAUCAAUGAUACCACCAUUAUGUACAGAAACACCUUGCGCCAAGGCUCAAAUAUUCCAACUACAUAUUCAUUUGGUAACUAGAACAAUAUAGCUCUACUCUCUCUCUCUCUCUCUUACUUGUUCUACAAACAAAGAGAUAGCAGCAUCACAGCCGUUUAUAUGAACUUAAAUAUAACCUGACCUUUCAUCUGUUAUGUUGACUGAAAUAACCAUUUCCUGUUCGUUUUCUUUUGGGUGAUAAGACAGAGUAUACGGAGGUGAAUGUCCCACCAGGCGAGUUUACGAGGAUGGAACCAAGGAAAUCGCACUAUCGGUUGUCAAAGGAAUCAACUGUGAGCUCCCUUGGCGCCCAUUAUUUUGCUGAUGCAUGCACACAUCUAUGAACCCAUCUAUGCUCAACAUCUUCAAAUGACUGGUGCAGGUAGUAUUUUCGCAUACGGCCAGACGAGUAGUGGAAAGACAUACACCAUGACUGGUAUUACUGAGCUUGCUGUGGCUGACAUUUUCGACUAUAUCUUUCAGGUGUUCAUGCCUCACUGCAUCAGUUUUUUUUUUUUUAAACCAAGAUAAUGGUAAAUAUCUAAUUGCACCAAUACUAAUAUGAAGAUAUGGAUGAUGUGUGUAGCAUGAAGAAAGGGCCUUUUCAGUGAAACUUUCAGCUAUAGAGAUCUACAAUGAGACCAUACGUGAUCUGCUUAACUCGGAUGGCACAUCUCUGAGGCUACGUGACGAUCCUGAGGUACAUUUUAAAGUUCAUUUUUUUGUUUACUGAACAGAACGCUUUUAGUUUGUAAAUCUGGCUGACUCGCCUCCAUCUUGUUAUUUCUUUCUGUGCUUUUAUAUUAGAAAAGGGACGGUGGUUGAAAAGGCUACAGAGGAAACUCUGCGAGACUAUAAUCAUCUGAAGGAGCUUCUUUCGAUAUGUCAAGGUUUAAUACUCAAAAGUCAAAAAAAUCACUUUGAUAGUAUUGAGCUUGAAACUCAGAAUGUUAUUCAGAAAAGUAAACUUUUCAUGUGUCUUAUUACUUAGCAGCACAGCGUAAGAUUGGCGAAACUUGGUUGAAUGAGAGAAGUUCAAGAUCUCAUCAAAUUAUCAAACUGGUUAGUCUUCUAUCACUGGUUUUAAGCUACAAAAUAUUCAUCUCUGUCUCUCUCCCUCUUACUUAGCCUUAUAUUUUAUAGACAGUUGAAAGCUGUGUACGUGAGUUGUUAGGCAAAGAAAACUCCACCACCCUUAUGGCUAGUGUGGUAUGUAUGUUCUCAUCCAAACAAACCGUUCUUUUUUUAUUUUAAUGUUGGAUCCUAAGUUCAUAUACAUCUUCUUUUUAUGUGGGCAGAGUUUCAUAGAUCUUGCGGGAAGCGAGCGUGCAUCACAAACAAUGUCAGGUGGAGGUGCAAGACUCAAGGAAGGCUGCCAUAUCAACCGAAGUCUGCUUGCUCUUGGCACAGUGAUCCGUAAACUUAGGUUUGUAAACAAUAAAUUACUUUGGCAUGCUUAGUAGUAUUAACAGUAAUCAAAACCACUGGGUGAUCUGAUCUAAUAUAGUAAGGGAAGACAAGGAGGGCACAUCAACUUUAGAGACUCCAAGCUCACACGAAUACUACAGCCAUGCUUGGGGGGUACUGCUAGAACAGCCAUCGUCUGCACUCUAAGCCCCGCAAGGAGUCAUGUAGAGCUGACCAAGAACACUCUCUCGUUUGCCUCCUGUGCUAAGGAAGUUACCACAAAGGCGCGCGUCAAUGUUGUCAUGUCAGACAAGGCUCUUCUGAAGCAACUACAAUGUGAGCUUACGAGGCUCCAGACCGAGCUGAGAAACGCUGCCUCUAACUGUGAUUGCGCAGCGACGGCCAGGAAGAAAGAUGUUCUGAUACAAAAGGUAUGAGAUUGGCUGGUUUUGUAACUGUUGGGGGUUUUAGUUUAGUUUAGGGGUUAAUGAUAAUGAAGGUUGUAAUGUGAUGAAGAUGGAAAAGCAGAUUGAAGAGUUGAGAAAAGAGAGGGAUCUUGCUCACUCCCGUCUUGAGGCCUCAAAGGUAUAUAUUACUACUACUGGCUCUUUCCCAAUUACAUUUCUAUAUCGUUUCUGCUAAACCUCAUGUUUCUGUUGUUACACUGUUGAAGUUGGAGGAUGGUUCAGUCUCAGGCAUGGUCGAUUUAGACAGGAGAGGGCAGGAUGAUGAUCUCAAUGAAGAUCUGCCUACGCGUUCAGAAGAUCCAUCAGAUGGAUAUUACAGAGAAGUUCAAUGCAUUGAGAUUGAGGAAUCAGCCAAUAGCAACCUCAAAGAGGAAAGAGCAGAAAAACCUUCAAACGUUUUAGGCCAAAACGUGAAGUUGAGAAGGCUUAACCACAUAGAGACAGUUCCAAGCACGAGCAGUCCACCUGGGGCAGACUUCCUCGGAAGACCAGAGAUUGUGUUGCCUGAUUUAGAGAAUGAUUCUUCUAUUUCUUCUUCUUGUGGGAGCAGUUCCACAGGGGUUCAGAGCAUUCCCUUGGGGGAAGAAGGCGGUAUCACUAGCGUCCGCACUUUCUUUAAUGGUCUUCAGGAGAUGGCUGAUCUUCAUGGCGGCCAGGUAAUGUUCCCAAAACAUAUUACUAUACUAAUGGAUUCUUCUUGGAUCAUAUUUUCAAGUUUUUUUUUUCAUUUAGGUCUCGAAUGCUGCUGAGGUUGCUGGUACAAUGGGGAGGGAGCUUCUUGGUGUAGACGGGGACUUUGAGAGACAGCGGAAAGAGAUUCUGGAGCUAUGGCAAACCUGUAACGUCUCUUUGGUGCAUAGAACAUACUUCUACUUGCUCUUCAAAGGAGAUGAUGAGGCUGAUUCAAUCUACAUUGGAGUUGAGCUGAGAAGACUUUUGUUCAUGAAAGAUCGCUUCUCUAAGGAACACCAAGCCUCGGAAGGAGGAGAAACCUCAACAUUGUCUUCAAGGUUAGAAUAUGUUUUGGUGAGCGUUAUGGCAUUUGUUGGUUAUUCAGUUUUCUUUAAGAGGACUACUCUUUUCUUUUUUUUGGUAAAGCCGGAAGGCGCUUCACAGGGAGAGAAAGAUGCUGAGCAAGCUUGUGAGUAAAAGGUUUUCAGAGGAAGAGAGGACUAGAAUCUAUCACAAGUUUGGCAUAUCGGUUAACACCAAACGCAGACGCUUACAACUUGUGAAUGAGCUUUGGAGCAAUCCUAAAGACAGGACUCAUGUUGCGGAAAGCGCAGAUGUUGUAUCCAAGCUUGUGAGCUUCACUGAACAAGGCAGAGUCAUGAAGGAGAUGUUUGGUUUGGCCUUCACGCCUCCUUCCUUCUUACAGCUCAGAAAUAGCAAAGUUGGAGAAAAGCAUGCCUUCACUUUUCUAACCAUCUGUUUUCGGCAUUGACAUUAUUAAUACUUUUCUGUUUCUUGUAGGCUAGCUGUGUGUAUAUCUUCUUUUAUGUCUUCUCUUUUUCCUUCUUUUGAUUUUGAAGGAGUCAACAUUGUGUAAUUGAUUUAUUUAUCAGUCAAUAUUAGUACCCGUAAAUUAUGUUGUUAUAGAAAAAUUACCUAAAAUUAACAUGUAAACACAAUCUAAAACGGAAACAUCUAAUGAAAUCUGUUGACCAAAGUUACAGUCAAAUUAAAAAACAGUCAACAGUCAAAUUUCUUUUAUGGAAAAACUCACUACAUAAUAUGGAAGAUUUAUUUGUAUAUAUAUACGUGUGGUUUAGUUCUCUUAACAAAGCACAGAAUCUUAGCUAAUAGUUGCAGCAUCUCCUAAAAGCUAUAAGUAAUGGCAGCAAAGAAGUUUUCAUUUCUUCAAUUACCAUUCUUAAUGGUGUUUGCUCUCAUCCUUUUGCCUACGAUUUCAGGUGACAUAUUUAUUUUGUUCGAACAGCACAAAAAUUCCAUUUUGUAUAUUAAACUGGUGAUUUUGGUAUGUAAAUGUAUUGUUUAUGUGUGUUUAUGUAACAAUUAGGACAAUAUUACAAAUGUAUGAAGGACGGGUGUACAUUAACAUUGGUAUGCGAUGCAAAAUGCAAGUCUAUGGGGUUCCCCAAAGGAGGGGUUUGUCGAGCAUAUAGUUAUGGCGGUGCUUGUUGCUGCGAAUGCAGUUCUAAAGCAUGUCAACAUUCCUUCAUAUCCAAUCUUCAUUAAGCCUAAAUUUUUAUAUGAUUACAUAAACAAAAACUUGAAUUUUACAAUAAACUAUUUACAUCUGUCUCAUCCAAACAGUAUUAAAAAGUUCAUCUCUUCUACCUGAUCAUGUCUUAGCGAUUUUCAUUCAGCAUAUGUUGUCAAAGUUAGUGUGAAAAUAAACCCAAAUAAGUAUUGAAUCACUCAGUAUAAGAUUCAGUCAAUUCACAAAUGUAAAAUAGGCCCACCAAACACAAAGAUUGACACGUCUGAGAAACACAUCCCAAGGGAGGUUUUAAAGCACACAUUCAUACAAGCACCAAGAGACUAUACUAGUAUCCUUUUUUGUAUACACAAGAACAUCAGAGCAGAACAGCUACAGGUACACAAUCCAUAAUGCGAAAGUUCCCACCAAGCACAACCUCACACCACUCAACUGUACCCCAAAUAUCUCCUCCUUGUCGUCUCUCCACGGCAAUCUCGGCACACCAGAUCUCUUCCGUCUGCAUGAAGAGAACCAUUUUCCCACCUCCAUAACUAGCGGCUUUCGACCAUGAACAGCCCCGAGGCAAUAGACCUUCCAAACCAUUCACGACUCCCCAAGAUCUGAGCUUAGGAUCAUAAGCUCUCAAACACUUGCCACGAACGUCAUAGUAAAACAAGACAUCCUCAACCACACAGGAACCCAACCACUCCUUGGAGUGCAGAACCUCGUCUUUCACGAAAUGAUCUGGACUGGUAACGGGAUCGCAAACGAAGCUAUUGUAGCAAGUCCGCAUGUAAAUCUUACCUCCCAUGGCCACACUACUAAACCACACUUUGCCUUGCUCCCAAUCUAGCCUCGACUUCAGCUUCCAAACCUCCGUCUCUAUAUCAAACUCCAUCAUCGUUCUCGACCUUGAUUUCAUCGGCGAGUGACCAUUUGCUCCUCCGAUUACAUAAAUCUUGCCGUCGAUGACCUGCGCGACGGAGCCAGCGACCGCCUUGGGCAUGUCGGCGAGAGGCUGCGCCGUGUGAGAUCGGCAAUCGAUGAGCGAAACACUCGACGUGAUGCUCCAAUCUUGAAAUCCGCCCAUCACGAAGAUGCUAGAGCCGACGGCGACGUAGCUGCCUUGUAGAGGCAUCGGAGGGAGCGAGGGGAUAUGCACCAAUCGAUGAUCACUCGUGCCGCCGCCGCCGUUGGGUUUGAUGCAGAGAGUGAACCAGUGGAUGUCAGAGGUCUGAUCCUUGGAGAUGGCGACGUAGAUGCAUUGCUCCGUGCGCUGCAAGACGGAUCGUCUCGCGUAAAGCUCCGGGGAAGCGACGAGGGAUCGGAAACGCCUGGAGACUUGGGAGAGAGUCGGGUAAUAGGAUCGAGAGACGCGCGCUACGAUGUCGACGAAGAUUUCUUCGGGGAGGGAAGAGAUCGGAGACGGCGGCUGCUUCUUCUGUGCCCUAGUUUCGGAGGAAGACAUCUCUCGAUUGAUACUCGAUUGAUCAUACAAUCUCGAAUAAAACCCUAGCUUUUUCAGGAAGCUGAUCAUGUAUCUAUCUCUUUAUUUAUACGCGUGAUCGGACUUGUACGGGAAGGAAAUCUCGAGAGUUUCUGAAACGCUUUUCGAUUCAGUUUCUCAGAUAGACGGUUACGACGCUUGUCAUCACUCUAUACGGUCGGUGUCGUGGACUAAAUAAUAUGGGCCUGGGCUCCUGAUUUCAAUUGUUGUACAUCUGCUCAGACACCAAUUAAGCUGUGUGUGCGUAUGGCUCGUAUCAUUUCUGGAUGAGAGUUCGGAUCGUAGUUUGAUAAUAAGUUAAACAAAGAGAAGAGUUUCGUAAACAAAUCAAAUUGAGUUUUAUGUGAUUUUAUUAGAAUGACAAAAAUAUAUAUAAAAAAGAGGGUGUCUCUCUUACUGGGAAGAGAAGAAUAUUACAAACAUAACACAAGGGUGGAAAACGAACAACACUUUGGUGAUGUGUGGUUUUUGUUUCGUGCAGACAGUACGUUUUUAAGAAGUAGCAAAACCACUGGCGGUCUCUACUAACCUGAGAAAUAAUAUAAGACGCGCGAAAAAAAGCAAAGAAAGAAUCAACGCAGAAUCCAAGAAGAAGAACCGCAUUCUCUUCUCAUUCGGCUCUGGAUUGACCGGCUCGAGAGGACAAGAUGAUACCGACGAUGAGACCAUAGAGAGCCAGAGCUUCAGCGAAAAUGAGGAUAAGAAUCAUUCCAACGAAAAGCUUUGGCUGCUGAGCAUUGGCCCUGCCAUCAAAACAAAGGGAAAAGUUGCUUAUAAAACGAGGGGGAUGGGAUACAUUACAAAAUGAGAAAAGCUAAACGAGAGAGAGAGAGGCCAUGAAUUGAUUAGAUUUACCUGACACCAGCAUCACCAACGAUACCAAUGGCCAUUCCAGCGGAAAGACCAGCAAGACCACAAGCGAGACCAGAAGAGAGAUGGGCGUAUCCGUCGAAGAGGUAGUAAGAUUUAGCCUUGGGAUUAAUCCCGGUACUGAUGAUCACAGCAAUAAUCAAACCAUAGAUACCCAAGACACCAGCCAUAACAACGGGGACAAUAGACUUCAUGACCAACUCAGGUCUCAUAACACCCAUAGAUGCCACUCCGACACCACUCUUGGCUGUCCCGUAUGCAGCUCCCAUGCCUAGUCAACCAGUAAACCCCACCACGGUCAGGGAAAUAACACACGAUACUUAUAUAUAUAUUCUAUUAUUAUAUUAGAUCACAAAGUUUUACAAAAGUAAUUGAAAGAAAGUCAGCCAAUUAAAUGGUAAUUAAGUAAAUCUCUUAUUCCCAGCCACGGCAAUGAGCAAUAUGACUUUAGAAAUCUAAACAAAUCAGAUCACAAGAAUCUGAUCCAAUGCCUAAACUAGAAUCCGGGAAAGAAACAGAUAGUUCGUUGAAUAUAGCUAAUUCAAAUCAAAUCCAAGGGGGGAAAAUACGAGGAAUAGGCAGAUCGGUUAACUUCAUAAGGCCGAUCCACAACCUAAACUUCGAAAGAGACACAACAAACCCCAAUCGAACAGAUCAACCAAGAACUUAUAAACACACAAACAUAAGAAGGCAAAGUAAAAAAAAAAAAAAAAAGAAAUCGUAAGAAGAGAAUGGAAUGUACAGGAGAAGACGAGGGCUGCGGCAGCGCCAAGGAAGCCGAAGAAAGGAGCGGCCUCAUCGCCACUGAAUGUAGACAUUUCCAAUGAUUCUCGAUCUUAAGAUGACGCCGACGACGAAUCUGAUCUUCUCCUCCUCUUCUCUCAGAUUGAAUUACGAUGAAGUUGAAUGAGAUUGGUGACGAUGAUAUAUUACAAAACCCAGCGAAGAAGAAGCGCACACGUCGGGAUCUGAAGAUGGGCCUCAUUCAUUAUUCGGCCCACGUUGUAGACAGACGAUAUUAACCUUCCUUCUUGUAUCUGUUUAGAAACUGCUAAAAGGGUAUAUCUGUCAAUUAAGUGUGGAGCUAUCUUCUUCCUCCUUGGGCUCUCUCUCUCUCUCUCUCUCCCGAGAUCUUUCUCGAUUUGCCUUUACUCGUUUCUCCUGCGAUAUCCGUAAGCUUUCGAUCCAUUUUCUUACUAUUUAUUUUUCAUGCUUGUUACGUACUGCUUGAUCAUUGAGAUCGAAUGUAUAUAUACACACAUUAUAGGGUUCGAAUUUGAUUUUCCCCCCAUUGUUUCCCCCCUACUUUUAUUUUUCUUCGAAAUAGGGUUAUUCUGGGAGCUCUCAACUUGAAAUUCGAACUCUUCUCUGCUCAUAUAUCCUGGAGAGUGAGUGACUCAUUUGGGAUGUAGAGGAUGGUGAUUUUCAAUUGUAAUAGUGAAUUUUAUUCUAUAGCUGCUUACGACUAGUGAUGAGUGAGGAUUUUUUGGUAACACUACAUUCUAAUCAGAUGCUUAACUAUGGUUUUUGAAGUAAAGUGCUUAGAUUCAAGUCUACAUUUGGAUUCUUUUGCUUUUCCACUUAGUAAACAACUGUGAGCUCUCAUUCAUUCUGCAAAACCACCUUCCCCUGCAUGUGUUAAUAGCAUUCUUCAUUACUGCUCUGCUGCUUUCUGUUAUUGAUAUCUUUUCAUUGUCUUUUACUCUUCAUUCUCAAUGUUUGAUAUCGUUUUUUUGCUCCUAUUGUUCUUCUUAUCCCUCAGGAGCUAAGCUGCAGUGAAAUAUGAUGCCUCAGCAUCAGAUCAAGGAGCAACAUAAUGCUCUCGUCAUGAAUAAGAAGAUCAUGUCCAUCCUUGCCGAGAGGGACGCUGCCGUCAAGGAAAGAAACGAGGCCUUGGCUGCUAAGCAGGAAGCUUUAGCCGCUCGGGAUGAAGCCCUUCAGCAACGGGACUUAGCUAUCUCUGAGAGAGAUAAUGCUAUCAUGGAGAGGGAAAAUGCCUUAACUGCUCUUCAACACCGUGAAAACCAUCUCAACUACAUUUUGGAUUGCGCAAAGCGUGGUGGCUACCAAACCUGUUUCACUGAAGAAACCCACUUGCCCAACCCUUCCCCAUUGUCAACCAUUCCACAUGAACCACCCAACACCAAAAGGAAGAAAGAUCGCAAGAGAAAGAAAGCUGGCGGCGAAGAUCUGAACCGUCAGCUUGCUUCUCCUGGGAAGAAAUGCAGAAAGGAUUGGGACUGUAACGAUGUGGGGUUAAACCUUGUCACGUUCGAUGAGACGACAAUGCCAGUGCCCAUGUGCACUUGCACCGGGACUGCUCGUCAGUGUUACAAAUGGGGAAAUGGCGGGUGGCAAUCGUCUUGCUGCACAACCACUUUGUCUCAGUAUCCGCUCCCGCAGAUGCCAAACAAGCGGCAUUCUCGAAUAGGCGGUAGAAAAAUGAGUGGAAACGUCUUCUCCAGGUUACUUAGCCGUUUAGCUGGAGAAGGGCACGACCUCUCCUCUCCGGUUGAUCUCAAGGACUAUUGGGCUAGGCAUGGCACGAAUCGCUACAUCAUUAUCAAGUAGCCGAGAUUUAUGAACCACUAUGUUAAAUCAGGUGUGUUUCUCUCUUCAUCCCUUUUUUCUUCUUCGUUUUUUUAACAAUUAGGUUCAAAAAUGGGAUGAAAGAAUGAAGCUUAGGCUCAUUGUUGUUUUUGUUGUCUAUAUAGUUCAGCUAAUACCAAAUGUUUAGUAGUAUUGUUUUGACUUGGUUUCGUGUUUAUGUAAUUGUAAACAGUCCAGUGAAUGAUGUCAUAUUUUAUUUUAGCAAAGUCUCAACUGAUUGAUCACAAAAUCGCAACUCUGCAACUAAAAACAGGAUGUUUUUUUUAUAUGAUCCUGUCGAAUGGCAUUAAUAAAUUCUUCAGUCUAUCCUCUCUCUCUCUCUCUCUCUCUCUCUCUCUCUCCCACCCAAGAAUCGUUGAGCAGCUUUGGCACGUUUUGCUCAGGCAUUCCUUUGUCUUUGAAUGGCAUUUCACGGCAGGAACGAUACCGGAGUCCAAUGGAUCCAUCUAUUACAACUUUUGUCUCUAAUCUUUCUACAAGUAGUCUCAUCUUGCUCGGUCUGUGUAUCAUCAUAGCUGUUUCUUCCAUGCAAGUUGCUAGCUAGUCUGUGGAAGGUCUUGUGAAAAUUCUUGAUGAUGGUUGAUCUAGAUAAUAAUAAUAAAAAGUGCACAGGAUACUUACCAGAAAGCUAAAAUGCACAGUUUCAUUCUCAUUGCAUAACCAAAGUACGAUCAUGUUGAUCACCCAUCCUCCUAGUGAGGUUUUGAUUAUUUAUCCGCACUUGUAAGCUUGUUAAUUUUCGUUUGUAUAUAAGGAGUGAAAUACAUUGUUCCCUACAUGUCAAAAUUCGAUUCUCGUCCGAUAUGACCUCUCUCUCUUUAAUUCAUAGAAUUCGCCACGUAUCGUCGUGAGUCCAAUAAUGGAAAUAAUAUAACUGGGUCCCCAUAUGUAUGUCUGUCUUAUCAUCUAACGGAUGUACUAGAAACCACGUGCUACCAUCGGCGGAAUUGUCGCUCCAUCUAAUUUUUUGUAUUUAAAUUCAAAGAUAAGCGAGAGAGAUGUAGGGUCAGCUUCGACCUAUCCAAAAAUAUUUGUAUAAUGUGGGUUAGUGAAACCUACAAAUUUCAUUAUUUUCUCUCUUUUGCCAAGCAAAUUUAAUUAAUCUUUUGUACUGUUAAUUCGUAAAUAUGUACAACUUUUUCUUCGGAGAUUAGAUUUACAUUUGCUCAGUAAAUAUGUGUGUGGCUAAACUCGUUGAAAAUUUUCUUCUUCAUUUUCUUUUUUCAAAGUUGUUGAACAUAUUCCAGCCUGACAUAUUCACUACAAAGUUAAUAUUAUGUUCGUUUUUAUAUAAAAAGUUAAUAUUCCAAAGUUUAGACGUGCGACCAACGGCAUUUGCAUUUGCCAAGCUAAUAUCAAGAACACACAUACUAAAUAGAACAUUAUGUUAGGAAAUAUCAUGCACCAAUACCUCGCAAGCAAAAAAAAACAUUUAGUCUUACCCCUUAAUUUAUGAUCCAGGAUAAUCCUGGCAGGAUUGUUUAUGAAGUUAGUUAUGUGCGUUGAAGAACAAAGUUCCACUUGGUAUUACUCUGGUAAAUAUGUUUGCCACACAUUUAGAUAAGUGAAAACAUUUCCAUGUACAAAAUAUUAUUAUAUUAGAAUCAUGUUAGAAUUCGAAACCUAAGUUUCCGUUCAUAUAUAUUGGCGUUGUUCAGUUUCCGUAUAUAAGUGGAAACACGACCACUUCUAAUAUGAAAAAGACUUAAUCCACGUGAUUUACACCCUUAAUUACGCCUUUCCAUUAUCCAAUUGACCAAUUCCCACGAGCAUCUAUAUCUUGUAAUAUUUGUUUUGCACAAAUAAUAUUAUGAAUCAACUAACACGUUUCCGUUUUCUGUGAUUUAUAUUCAGCAAACAAAAAAAGACAUGUCAUUAUUUGUUCUAAAAACAUCGGCUAUCUUAAUCGUUUUUUUUUUUUUUUGACACAAGCUAUCUUAAUCGUUUAGGUUACGUCUAUUGUUAACGAAAAUAUCAUUCACACGAAAAACUCGAGCAUAUUGUACAUUGUUUUUCAACGCUAGUUUUUUGUUUGUCUAAAAACAUAGGCUAUCUUAAUCGUUUAGGUUACGUCUAUCUAUCGGAUUUGAUGUGCGCCGGAAAGAAGUGAUAACAUUUUUUUCAACGCUGGUUCAUAUUUUGUUUGUACUAUUAUUUGUACAUCGAUGAGUAAGAUACGAUAGUCUUUUUUUUUUCUGUGCGACCCUUAAAAUACUAUAUAGUCUUGGAAUCAAAUAAUUGGGGAUAUGAAGAUAUUUAUAAGAAACAUGGAGAGAGGUGGGUUAUAAGAGUCAAUAUUUGUUGUGUGGUGGGGUUCAUGCAAUUUAAGGCUUAUGAAUAUAAUUGUAUUGUUAGGCCAAUUUAAAUCAGAAUGUUUUAAAUCUUUUGUAACAACAUUUUUUGUAAACACAACCGUUAACACGGUAGACGGAUCUUACUUAAACUCUCAAGAAUAGUAGGUAAAAUUCUUUAGGCCUGCUUCGCCUGCGUUGGAUUGGAAUUUGAAUGUUCCUUAUAGAUGCAGCAGUAAGUUUGACUCCAAAUAAAUCCAGAACAAAUCUUACAAUAUGGAGGUCCAUAACGUUUUUUUUUAAAUACUAUACAUGUAAAGAGGCAGGAAAAAAAGUAAGGAAAUAGAAAGAAUGGCUUUUACAUGAUGCGGGCAUACACAUGACAUAACGAGGACAGAAUCUUUCGUCGUAGCAAAAGAUGUCAAAGAUGGUCGGAAAUCGGAAUACAAUCCAUAUUCAAAUAAUGAAAAAAUAUUCAUCAUAAGAUAUAUUAUCUUUACAUUUAUUACAGUUUAGUAAUGGAGAUAUUCGAUACUGAUUAUGGUGAGAAGAAAAUAAUACAGUUGACAUAAAUGGGUAACAAAAAUAAAAAAGAAGAAUGGAUGGAUAGAAGAGCAUUAAAUAGAAAAUAUUGAGGAUUGUUUAUAAAUAUAAAUAUAAAUUUUUACUCACUCAGGACAUCCGUGUCGUCUUUUUAGUCUCAUCACUUCUUGCUCGCUCUCUCUCUCGUGUCCAAAAAGUCGUUGUCUUUUUCGUUUUUUUUUAACCAUCUUAUCGAGAAAAUUAAAGGGAGAGAAAAUCGCGGAGGGAGAGAAAAAAGAAAUAGGCCCUCCUGUGAUUUCCCAAUUUUCUAGAGAGAGAGAGAGAGAAGAAAAGAGAAGUCUUUAAUUCGAGGUACUCGCCAUUUGCGCCAUUGAUUGAUUGAUUGAAUCUCAAGCUAAGUGCGUUGAAGUUGAGGUAAACCCACUUGCAUUUCGCUCUUUCAAAGCUCUCUCAUUUUGACGAUUCAUAAAUCUUGUUGUUUGGUGAUGAUAGCUUUUUAAAAAGCUAGCUUGAUCUUGUUUUAGGGUAUUCGGAGUGGUGAAAUUUGACUGCAUUAGCCGUUCGGAUCUUGAAGAAGAAGAAUUGAAAUGGGAGAUACAGACACUGAUAUGAUCCACAGACACCAUUCUUCAAUUCCCAAACAGAAGCAUCAGCAGCUGGAAUUAAACCCGAAUAAUCUCAUCCGCUCAUCAGCAUCUCAAUUCUCCAGUGAGAGUGGCAUUUCCAAACGAGUGGGGGUUCCCCCGACAUCUCCCUACUCUCAGAUCCAGAUUCUCAACCCUGGAGCUACUACUACUACUAGUCACUCACGGUCAAUGUCACAGCCUUGCUCUUUCUUCUCCUUGGAUUCAUUGCCUCCCUUGAGCCCUUCUCCCUUCCUCGACGAUCGACUUAACACCAACCCUUCUUCCUUGUUGCCUCCCUUCACCUCUUCUUCUAGAGCCGACAGUCUACCUCCCAGAAAAUCUCACCGGCGCUCCAACAGCGAUAUCCCCACCGGCUUAACUUCCAACCCUUUCGUCAAGAAGGAAGACAUGGAUGAUCUCUUCUCUGCCUACAUGAAUCUCGACAACAUUGAUGCCCUCAACUCCUCCGAGAAUCUUUCUCGGGAUGAUAUGGAGAGCAGCAGAGCGAGCGGCACCAAGACUAAUAGUGACACUGAGGGAGAAACCAGCAGUGUCAAUGGCGAUCAUAACAACAAUAACUUGAAGAGAAGAGCCGGUGGAGGAGACAUUGCUCCUUCCUCCAGACAUUACAGGAGUGUUUCUGUCGACAGUUGUUUCAUCGACAAGCUCUCUUUUCCUGAUGACUCCCUCAAGCCGCCUCCUUCUCCUGGGACCACUAGGAAAGUUUCCCCCACCAAUUCGGUUGACGCUGCUCCAGCAUUUAGCAUCGAGUUUAACAACGGCGAGUUCACUGCAGCUGAGAUGAAGAAGAUCAUGGCCAAUGAUAAACUUGCUGACAUGGCCAUCUCUGACCCUAAGCGUGUCAAAAGGUUUUUUUUUUUUUUUUAAUUUUGUGACCCUCGGGGUUUCCUCAAUUUUGAUUCUCUCUCUUCUUUUUUGGGUCAGAAUCUUGGCGAACCGUCAGAGUGCAGCGCGGUCAAAGGAGAGGAAGAUGCGGUACAUAGUGGAAUUGGAACACAAGGUGCAGACUCUUCAGACCGAGGCUACUACUUUGUCUGCUCAGCUCACCCUUUUGCAGGUGCCUUUUAGUCUACAUUUUGUUAUAACACCCAGCGCCUAGAUUAGUUUGUUUUUUAACCAUCUUAGUUGAUACAGAGAGAUAUGAUGGGGCUGACAAACCAGAACAAUGAGCUCAAGUUUCGUCUUCAAUCAAUGGAGCAGCAAGCAAGACUUCGCGAUGGUAAUAAUGCAUUUCUCUUGAAUUUUAUAUCAAUGGAUCUUACUCAUCAUAUGUCAGUUUCUUUAUUCUUGAAGCUUAGUAAGAACAACUACUAACUAGAUCACAUUAUGUUUGAAAAAUCUCCAAUCUAUGUGUGAGAUCAAUGAUUGUUUUUCUUUUCCGUGGCAGCUCUGAACGAAGCAUUGAAUGGGGAAGUCCAGCGACUGAAACUGGCAAUUGGUGAGAGCAGCCACAGUAACGAAGCUGACAGAUCAAAGAUGCAAUCACUCAACGCAGAGAUGUUCCAGCAACUCAACAUCAGCCAGUUAAGACAGCAGCAGCCUCAGUCUCAGUCUCUGCAGAAUGGAACCCUGUCGACAAAACCUGAAUCGAAUGAAUAGAUCUGGGAGGUGGGGCUGGCUGAAUCAAAGAAUUGGAGUCUUUAGUUUUUUUUUUUUCUUUCUAAGUUGCAUAUCAAUCAGUUAAACAUCAUAUAUCUAUCUAUUUUAUGUGCAGAGUCUGUUGAAUUUACAUAUAUAUCAUUAAGUCCAAGAAGUUAUAAUUUUACAGCAUCAUUAUCUUAGAAAAAAAAAAUUCAAUUUAUGAUAGAUAAAAUAUGGUUGUAAUGGAGACUGAGCAUCAGACAGAGAGAUUCUCUGUUUGUUGUUUUGUAGUUGCGUUUUAUUGAGUUUUGAUUUUUGUCUCUAUGUUGUUUGGUCUCCUAUAUCUUUGCAUGUGUCUGGUAGUGGUAGACGUUAAAUACAAAAAAAGAGAAAUGCUGGUUGAUGAUGAAUCAAAUCGCAAAAAAACACAAGAGAAUUGGCCACCCUGUGUUCACCAAUGUAACGUGUUCACCAAUGUAACUACUCACAGGGUAGGGAUUGGUAUCUCUCAAGCUCACUAUAACUUUUCUUUUACUCAAAAUACACUCAAAUGUGUAAGAGUAUCAAAUCAAUCAAGUUUAGAUACAAGUUACAAGGUCUAAAACGAGAAAUCACUUCCGAUCCUUGACAGUGUGAACACUAUGAGCUAAGUGUCGACUCUCAUUCUCUUGCAACUCACUCACUCAGUCACUCUCUCCCCUCUGUAAAUCGUAGGUUGAAGAUGAAGAUGACACAACAACCAUUUGGACCAUUAUAACCGAAUUCGGUUAUAUACAAGUUGCUGGCUCAGUUGGCAAACUUUCUGACCCAAGCCAAAAAAAAUAAGCUGAGAUGUGAGGCCCAUUACAAGAUUCGGCCCACUCCCGUGUUUGACUGAAUCGAUUCACAACUGGGUGCGUAUAGCUUUCUUCUACUUCAUUCGGCCUUCUUAGUUUGGAAUGUAUAUGAAUGAGCAGGUCAAGGUGCGGAUACCGGAAUUGCUGCUUGGAAAGGUUCCGGAAGGCUUCACGUUUUCCCCCAGCACACAAAUCGUUUUAAAAUACUAUUAAAUUUGACCAUCAUAGUUUCUAACAUAAGUAAGCGGAUUGAUUCAAAUCUUGUAUAAAUUACUUAUGUUUCAUCAAACUUUUGAAUGUGAAAUUUUUUCUCUAACACAUUCUCUGGAGAUAAUAGUGUUUAUAACCACUUUUCUAGACCGGAUUAAUAGGAUAGGAUUUGGAUACUAUGUUAAAUUGGGAUUUAUUAUAGACUUUUAAUUUAAAAUUAAUGAUCAUGAACUUAUUUAAAUCCUUUAUAUAUUAUUUAUAUCUCAUCCAAACUUUAGAUGUGGAUCUUUUCUCCAAAAAAUAUAGCAUAAUGUUCUAUUUUAAUAUAUAUAUAUAACUUUCAGAUGAAAAUUGGUAUGAACCCAAAGAUAUAUUAUUGAGAGAUAAGAGCAAAACAACAGUUGUAUGUAGGCGAAAAAACCAAAAAGGUAUGUGCGUCAGGAAGAGUAGUUGCUAUCAUAUACGAUUUGUGGCUCGUAGAGAAAAACGAAAAGAGAGAAGUGCAUUCAAUUUGUUAACCUAAAAUGCACAUAUAUUAAUAUCAUAUAUAUAGGACCCCAACUUAUAAUUACUAGAGACAAACAUGCUUGUGCUUCGCCUAAAGAAGUAAUCCACUCAUAAUCUGUGUGCGUAGUACUAUACUUUUAUAGUCAAAACACAAAGUCGCAAUAUAAACCUAAUUUAGAAAGGGAAAAAACAAUUGCUUAGAGUGUUUUUUUAAAAAAAAUUUAGUAUGCAUUACAGCAUUGUAAUGCAUGCAUUUAAGCUUUGCGUAUUGAGUUGUCUAUGACACUCUUUAGUGUUACGGGUGGGAUCGAUUUAUUUGUUGUUUCUCGUGGAUAAUAUAUUGUAAUAUAUUUGUAUAAUGUUCAGAUGUUUUUAAUAAGUAUGAUUCUCUAUAUAGAGAAGAGAAUCGGAUGGAAAUUUUAUUUAUACAUUACUCGAAUACAAACUUACUCAUACCCGUGACCGUGAACAAAACCUAAAAGAGAAGGCUCAUACAAAGAUCAAACAAUUCUAAUUAGUUUCAAAUUAAGAACUCGAACGUUCAUAAGAUUCGAACCCAAAAAAAUGUUGGUCAAUAUUCAACUUGCAGUCAUCAUCUAGAAGCGCAAAUCACCACUUUUCAACAAAUAUAAGCAUAUAAAACGAUUCGAGAAAUCAAAUCAGAUUUAUAUUAACAUACAUAAAUAAUAAAUGAUAGAUGAAUACCACUAUUUCAUAUCGAUUUGUCCCCUUUUGUGUUGUUUGCUUAAUUUCAUAAUAAAUGAGAUAGCAAUUUUUAUUAAAAGAUACAUUCUCUGAAUUUUUUAGAUGAAACAAAAAAAACAAGCCACCACUUCAUAAAAAACAUCAAUAUUCUAUCGAAUACGAACCCCAUUUAGGGCGACCUAACGAACUAAAACCCCCCAUAUUUACAUGAUCCGUGUAGAGAAUGAUCUUCUACAUGUGGAUCUUACAGGUUUUUAGUCCAGAAAAAAAAAACAUUUGGAUAGCAAAUCUUUAUCCAAAGGCAAAAAAAAAAGAAAAAAAUCUUAGUCCUCAUCAUAAUGUAAACUCUCUCCAAUCUCAUCGGAUCAUGGAUGUUAGGGAGAGAAAAACGACUUCUUCACAAGGGAUAGUGAGUCCUCCCAUGUGGUGGAAACCGAACUCUUCCUCUGCUUGUUGAAGUAGGAUCAGAAAUUCGGGAUGAGACAAGAAGGUGAUUGGUACGAUGUACCUCGUACGAUUUUCCCCUACGUAAACCGGAAAAUGUCCCUUUGGUACGUCAAGAGGGAGACCUUCCUCGUCGUAGCAUUGUUUCUUGCCUAAGCUCGAGCAUCUCUUUAUGAUUUGCUUUAGCAUCGCUGUUUGUGUUAGCUUCGAAGAUCUCUUUGCCGCCAUUAUUUUACUUUUAGUGUUUAGUUUUUUUAUGAGAGUCGGAGAUCGAGUGAGGGAGUGAGGAGAGAGUUUGAAGGAGAAAGGAGAGUUGUUUAGUGAGAAAGAGGUGGCGAAAGGGGGUUAUUUAUGGAGGACGAGGAUGAGGAUAGGAUGCUAAGCAAUAGUUAUUUUAGUUUCUUUUUGAUUAUCUCAUACAGAUUUUAUAUUAAUAUAUGAUCAAAUGAUUAUCAAUAAUCUAAAAUUUUGGUUAGUGCCGUCUUCUAAGACUCUUCCAAAAUAAUUAUACAUUUCGAAUGAAAAUUUCAGCAAAACAGCUAAUCGUUCGUGCCUCAACUGGAUAAAUUCACUUAUUUUGAGUGAAUUAUCAUAUGUAUAUGAAGUAUCAUUUUUUUGUUCAAAAAAUAUAUAUAUAUAUAUAUGAAGUAUAGAAAAAUGGAAAUCACAAAAAAAUGUGAAUUUAGAGCAGAUUUCUCUAAGAAGUAUGAGGAAAUUUAUUUGUUUUUAAAUAUUAGUAAAAGUAUUCCAAUAUUUUCACAUGCAUAUUAUGAAUAACUAGUAAUAUUGUAACGUUAUACAUAAUAUAGUUUUGGAUAUAGAGUUUUAUUUUUAAGGAGGAGAAAAAAAGCAGGAAGAGUGAUACAGAGACGCAUGUGACAGUGUGGGAUCCAAACCCAUUGCGAUUAAAUUUCAUUGUUGGUCCUCCCCAAGACACCAUGGUCCCUCCUCUCCCUCUCUUUCAUUAGUUAUUAUCAUAAACAAGAAAAAUAUCAAUGUGGUAACUAUAUUUCGUAACUACGUACGAAGAGGUAUGUGAAUAUGUACUAUAAGUACAAGUUGUAUGUACUCCUUAGUCUGUUUGGUUAAAUGUUUACUUAAUUAAUCUCCUCUAGUUUACAUAUGAUAACUUUUGUUGGUAAUCUUCAACGGUCGUGUGUAUUCUGAGUUUCUGACUAUCACAAACUAGCAGCAACAAUGUAAACUCUUAAGUUGAUUUGUACACCAACAUUACUAUAUCACCGGACUAUAAUACAGAUCUACUAGAAACAAAAAUUUAAUGUCUCCUGAUCUUUUUAACCUAAAAUAUGUAGGCUAAUCACGCGAUUUGAAAGUACCAUAUUUGUUUGCAAUAGGUUUUAAUAUAUAGGACCUAAUGGUAGACAAAUUGCUAGAUUCACAACUGUCAUGUGAUGAACUCCAAAAACAACCAAAAAUAUAACAAGUAGAAAUAAAUAUAAUUGUAUUAAUAGAAAUUACAAAACUAUUUGAUUAAUUACAGCCAUUUGGUUACAAAAUAUCUAUUUAAGAGAACACAUUGUAACAAAUGCAUACAGAAAAUUACAAAAAAUGAAUACGCCUUGACUCUUGUCUGCCAGUGACCGUAUUGGCUUACAAUACUUAUUGACCAUGUUCGAUAUAUACUUAUAUGCUUAUAGACAAUGGGCAUUUAUUAGACCUUUGUUCUUGGUCGUAAAAGGUUAGGGACAAAGAACAUGUUAAGUCUCACGAUCGUUCAUUUUUUUUUGUUAAAAAAAUUCUCACGAUCUUGAGCUUCCCAUCUUUGUUAACUUUUGACGUUACUCUUCGUAAUUCAUGGGGUCGGCCAUAAUGCAGAUUAGUUAUAUAUGAAUAAUAAGAUAAUAAAGUGAAUGACAAACUUUUUUUAUUGGUAAAAAGCGAAGCACUUAUUUUGGGUACUAUUUCUCUAUAUGAACAUGUUAUUUCACGUAUUUGUGAUAUUUGAUAAUUAAAAGUAUGCUGUUUAGAACAAAUUGUACGUACUUUUAUGGUACUUGCAACUAAACAAAAUUCAGUCAUUUACCUAAUGCUUUUUUUUAUGUUCAUGGUCAUUUAAUACAUUAGUAGUAGUACCUAGCAUAAUAGUAUUUUAAGCAACGCUAAUUACUUGAGUCAUACGUAACUCUGCAACACUACAAAGG